AGCGGGUACCUGACUAAGAAGCACCGGCUAAAUACGUGCCAGCAGCCGCGGUAAUACGUAUGGUGCAAGCGUUAUCCGGAUUUACUGGGUGUAAAGGGAGCGCAGGCGGUCCUGCAAGCCAGAGGUGAAAACCCGGGGCUCAACCCCGUGAUUGCCUUUGGAACUGUAGGACUUGAGUACUGGAGGGGCAGGCGGAAUUCCUGGUGUAGCGGUGAAAUGCGUAGAUAUCAGGAGGAACACCGGUGGCGAAGGCGGCCUGCUGGACAGAAACUGACGCUGAGGCUCGAAAGCGUGGGGAGCAAACAGGAUUAGAUACCCUG
rnacentral:rRNA from 1 species